UCUCACUCUCAAUUUGCUGUAGUCAACUGUUGCUUGGUAUUCGAUCAUACUGAGAGAGCAGACAGUAUAAAAGCAGCAGGUUAAGAAUCAGCCUUUAUCACUUUCCAUCGAAGCAUCAGCUGUCAAAUUCUAACCACAUUGUGUUUGUUUUAAAAAAGGUGUGCUCUUCAAAUAAAUGAUCAUUAUUUGGCAUUACUGGACGGAGUUGUAGUUUUAUAAAAACUCAUACUUAAUCGCCACCACAAUGCAGUUGAACAAGGAAGGUGUACUGCUCUAUCGUACCGAUCCAAUUUGUUGUCUUAAACUGACGCUUUAAGCGUUUUGUUUCUGGCAACAAAUUUAAUAGAAAUUACAGUGGUUGGUAUCUUUGCGAUAGAGGUAGGAGAACGAUGACGCUCGAGCACGUUCAACAAUACUAACGCAGUUCCUUCUACUACCCGGCUGAUGAACACUGCAGGGAGCAAUCGGUAUGUUUCUUUCUUUGGUGAAUUUCGGACUGCAUCUCGAGAACGUGACAACAUACGGACGGUACGAAUAAAUAGAACGAUUUUAUGUUAGUGUGCGACAAUAAAAAAUGUUAAAAGUA